rnacentral:rRNA from 1 species
UACACUCAGGGAUAGCCUUUCGAAAGAAAGAUUAAUACCUGAUGGUAUGAUGAGAUUGCAUGAUAGCAUCAUUAAAGAUUUAUCGGUGUACGAUGGGGAUGCGUUCCAUUAGGUAGUAGGCGGGGUAACGGCCCACCUAGCCGACGAUGGAUAGGGGUUCUGAGAGGAAGGUCCCCCACAUUGGAACUGAGACACGGUCCAAACUCCUACGGGAGGCAGCAGUGAGGAAUAUUGGUCAAUGGACGAGAGUCUGAACCAGCCAAGUAGCGUGAAGGAUGAAGGUCCUACGGAUUGUAAACUUCUUUUAUAAGGGAAUAAACCCUUCCACGUGUGGGAGCUUGUAUGUACCUUAUGAAUAAGCAUCGGCUAACUCCGUGCCAGCAGCCGCGGUAAUACGGAGGAUGCGAGCGUUAUCCGGAUUUAUUGGGUUUAAAGGGAGCGCAGACGGGUCGUUAAGUCAGCUGUGAAAGUUUGGGGCUCAACCUUAAAAUUGCAGUUGAUACUGGCGUCCUUGAGUGCGGUUGAGGUGUGCGGAAUUCGUGGUGUAGCGGUGAAAUGCUUAGAUAUCACGAAGAACUCCGAUUGCGAAGGCAGCACACUAAUCCGUAACUGACGUUCAUGCUCGAAAGUGUGGGUAUCAAACAGGAUUAGAUACCCUGGUAGUCCACACGGUAAACGAUG